rnacentral:rRNA from 1 species
UACGUAGGGUGCGAGCGUUAAUCGGAAUUACUGGGCGUAAAGCGUGCGCAGGCGGUCUGUUAAGACAGAUGUGAAAUCCCCGGGCUUUAACCUGGGAACUGCAUUUGUGACUGGCAGGCUAGAGUAUGGCAGAGGGGGGUAGAAUUCCACGUGUAGCAGUGAAAUGCGUAGAGAUGUGGAGGAAUACCGAUGGCGAAGGCAGCCCCCUGGGCCAAUACUGACGCUCAUGCACGAAAGCGUGGGGAGCAAACAGG